AAAGUACUCCCUCAGUCCCAAAAUUCUUGUCUUGGAUUUGUCUAGAUACGGAUGUAUGAAUACAUCCGUAUCUAGACAAAUCUAAGACAAGAAAUUUGGGACAGAGGGAGUAGUUG
rnacentral:pre_miRNA from 1 species